ensembl:misc_RNA Metazoa_SRP Metazoan signal recognition particle RNA
GCUGGGCAUGGUAGCACAUGCCUGUAGUCCCAGCUACUUGGGAGGCUGAGGCAGGAGAAUCACUUGAACCUGGGAGAUGGAGACUGCAGUGAGCCAAGAUCACACCACUGCACUCCAGCCUAGGUGACAGAGUGAGACCCUGUCUCAA